AUAUUGUGAUACAGGAAAAUGAUACAAAUAUCUAAACAUUGAUUAUUACUACUAUUAUUAUAAACUGUUGGAGAUAUUUCAGGAAGCUUACUAGUCGCAUUACCUUGUUUGUUCUAUGCUACAGGAUGAGAUUUGGAUCUCAAAUUUCAAACUAACCUCAUAGUGGAUAUGGCUAAUUCAACAUUCUGCUAAUUAUUUCCUUCAUUAUUCGAAGCUUGUCCUAUUAAUUAUUUGUUUUAUCAACUUAGAUGAUAUACCAAGAUAAUAAUCAAUCUGAAAUCUUGAUUGCCACUUGCUAUUUUCUAAAAAAAAAUAAUUUUGGCCUAGAUCUUAAAUUGUCAUGCUAUGUACGGGUUAUUUAUUAGUUAAUUCCUAAUAAUGUUCGUGAUGAAUUGAUGGGGGAAAGCCUUUUAAAGUUUAUUCAAGGAAGAAAGUGAAGACCUAAGUAAACUUUAAAUAGGUUUAAUAUUAAUUAGGAUUGAAUUGAGAUUGGUAUUUGUUGGAGUUUAAUUAGGAUUAGCUAAUUGAGUUAUAAUAUAAUUAGAAUUUGAGUCAUGAUAGGUUAUUAAAGUCCUAGUAGAUUUUGGAUGUUAUAAUUAGAAUUAGAAUCAUAAUAGGUUAUUAGAGUUCUAGUAGACUUUGGAUUUCUUAGAGAAGCCUAUAAAUAGGCUAAUCAAUGUAAAUCAAAGGGUAAUUUGAUGAAUAAUAUUAUACUUUCUUUCAUUGCAAGGUUGCAACCCUCAAUGGUGAGACUCCAUUGAUUUUCUUCUAGGUGAGACUCCUAGAAGGCCUUAGUGAGACUCUAAGGUUUUCCAUCUUUUCUUCAUUGUUUCUUCUUUCUCUCUAUUUUUUAUCUUAUAAUUUUCUCUACCAUAAAAUUUAUUCCUUGUUCCUCUCCUUACACCCUAAAAAUAAAACCCUAGCCCACCUACCCUUGAGUGUAGGCAACCAUCCUAGGGUUGUCCUAUAUCAUGAAUAGUGUUAUACUUGACUUACCUUAAUAUGCUAAAUAUCAUCUGAUACCUGAGAUGACUGUCUGAGAGGUAACCUUUUGCUUACUUUAUGUGCUGUACUAUAAAUCCAAAUUAAUCUCUUUAAAUCCAAAUCAAUCUCUGUUGGUACCAUACAUAUUCACAAUUGAGUUAUUCAUCUUAGUGUUGUCCAAUACUUUUGCACCUGGUUUUGAGUAGAUUUGAACCCUUUCUAGGGUAAGGCAUCUCACAUUCCUUGUAGGUUAAGGGGUAGACUAAAUAUUGUGGUUCAAUUCCUAGAUCUUCUUAUACUUUUUGUGGUUAUAUUAUCACACUGGUAUCAAGUAAAUUCAAAAU
rnacentral:lncRNA from 1 species